rnacentral:rRNA from 1 species
UACGUAUGGUGCAAGCGUUGUUCGGAAUCAUUGGGCGUAAAGGGUAUGUAGGCGGAACUGUAAGUCAGGUGUGAAAACUAUGGGCUCAACCCGUAGCCUGCACUUGAUACUGUGGUUCUGGAGUUAGGGAGAGGUAAGCGGAAUUCCUGGUGUAGCGGUGAAAUGCGUAGAUAUCAGGAGGAACACCGGUGGCGAAAGCGGCUUACUGGCCUAUAACUGACGCUGAGAUACGAAAGUGUGGGUAGCGAACGGGAUUAGAUACCCCCGUAGUCC